AAAGAUCCAAGACAUCUUUUAGAAGGCUGGGGAUAUACAGGUGAUAAAAAUGAAACCCAGUUGGGACCAAGCAUCUGAGUAGAAAAUAGUGAACACAAGAGGAGAGGUUGCUGAGAAUAAUGGUUUCCAGCUUCAUCCACGUCCCUACAAAGGCCAAAAUUCAGAAAUGGGAUCUAAUUAAACUAAAGAGCUUCUGCACAGCAAAAGAAAC
rnacentral:lncRNA from 10 species